rnacentral:lncRNA from 1 species
GUAACGGUGAACCGCAAGAGUGUCAUUACUAGAGCGCCUUGAUUUUGAACAACAACGCAGCCGUCUCAUCUUUUAGAGCUGUCCCAGAGAUGCUGACUAGCCUAGCAACUGCUAGAAGGGCUCUGACCAGAUAAAAAGAUCAUGCUGAUCUGCAAAGCAUUUAAAGACACUGUCACAAAAAUCAGCAAAGGAACAGCUUGCCAAGUAGAAGCAACAAUAAAAUCAUGGUUAAGAAAGUCAAGAGACAGAGAUGGUGGGCGCCAAGGAAUGGCCAAAACUCAGAAAGGACUUACUUUUAAUGAAAUUUUUUGGAGUUAAAAAUGGCUUUUUCUUUUCUGUGUUUAUUCAUGUUUGAUUUUGUAUUAAAUAUAAUUCUGUUUCAAUAUCAUACAGUUGUUAAUUUUUUUGUUAUUAAACUCUGUAAAUAAAUAAUUACUAACAUGA